rnacentral:antisense_RNA from 1 species
UUAGAUGUGGAUUGCUUCAUUACGAUCAGAGUCACAAUUCGUAGUGGAAAAGUAAAAAAACCGACCUCACCAGUCGGUUUUUUUAC